AGAGAGAUGGCUCAGCAGUUAAGAGCACUAACUGCUCUUCCAGAGGUCCUGGGUUCGAUUCCCAGUAUCCAUA
rnacentral:tRNA from 1 species